UAUUAGUAAGCGUGGAUAAACGGAAGCACACUGAACGUGGAGUAAUAGCAGUAUGUAAAAUGUAUGCGACGGCUCUGGAGACAGGACGGAAAGAAAUGAUGCAAGUAUGGACAAAAAUUUACCACUAACAUAAAGUAGAAUAUGUCGUGAAAAAACAAUCUCGGAAUAAGAAUGAAAGGGCUAAAGAACCUAGAAGUUGCCACACCUGACUAAGGUUAAUGAAUUUACUUUGAUCCAAGUCAUGUUUUUGUUAUCUCCUUUGCUCUUGAUUAGUUACAAAUGUGAGAGACCAUAUUUAGAAAGCAAAAGCAAGCUGUAUAUCACACAUUUCUAUUUCCUACUGAAGAAAGGGUCGAGCUAUUACUGGCUAUAGCACCCUGAAACGCGUCUAGGCUACAGAUUUUAAUUUUAUAAGUCACUAUAGCACCAUAUGGACUUACAUCCAAUGUGAAUACGGCACAGCGGCAUUGGCUGGUUCAGACGAACUGAUCUAGACAUCCGUCUUUUACUACUGGUCCGGUCCGAGUCUUUGGACUGUCUCACUGACCUGUCGAGAGCGAACUAUCCCCGCCAGGAUUUCAUCCACCACGAGGGACGCCACGAUAUACCAACACUGCAUCUGCCCGUCCAUCAUAGAGGGGGAGUACGGCCGGUACAUAACGCGCUACGCCAAGUGCACCCCUGAAUCAGCGACAGCUCCAACAUUGCUGCCUGCACCAUCACAGCAGACUACUACAGAAGUAUUCAUCUGGCAGUCCCAGGAUUUGGUGAGAUCGUAACAAUUACCACAGUGAUACAUGUAUUGAAGUCAGUGACAGUUUGGUUUGUUGGACUCAUAGCAGUCUUUUUUUAUGUCCAGCUGAGAUCGGACCAUAUAAUUAUAAAUAGAUCAUACAGACUGCCGUUACAUUGAACUAUCAAUUGGCAAACCAUUGGAUGCCGUAGUAUUAGACUAAUGCUAAUUUAGAAAUGUGAAUAAUGUUCUGAAUUUUAUAUAAAUGUGAAUAAUGUUCUGAAUUUUAUAUAUCGUGUGAAUAUCCCCACUAGGGCCCAGUGGUGGUAUAUUCUUGCAUUAG